rnacentral:tRNA from 1 species
GCCGGGGUGGUGGAAUGGCAGACACAGGGGACUUAAAAUCCUCUGGCCGAAAGGCCGUGCGGGUUCAAAUCCCGCCCCCGGCACCA